AGACUGGGAUAACUAUUGGAAACAAUAGCUAAUACCGGAUAUAGUUAUUUAUCGCAUGAUGAGUAAUAGAAAGGAGCUUCACAGCUUCACUUAAAAAUGGGGGUGCGGAACAUUAGUUAGUUGGUAGGGUAAUGGCCUACCAAGACGAUGAUGUUUAGCCGGGCCGAGAGGCUGUACGGCCACACUGGGACUGAGAUACGGCCCAGACUCCUACGGGAGGCAGCAGUAAGGAAUUUUCCACAAUGAGCGAAAGCUUGAUGGAGCGACACAGCGUGCAGGAUGAAGUUCUUCGGAAUGUAAACUGCUGUUAUAAGGGAAGAAAAAAUAGAAUAGGAAAUGAUUUUAUCUUGACGGUACCUUAUUAGAAAGCGACGGCAAACUAUG
rnacentral:rRNA from 1 species